rnacentral:rRNA from 1 species
AGCAGCCGCGGUAAUUCCAGCUCCAAUAGCGUAUAUUAAAGUUGUUGCAGUUAAAAAGCUCGUAGUUGAAUUUCGGGGUUAGUAGGUUGGUCAUGCCUCUGGUAUGCACUGGUCUCACUGAUUCCUCCUUCCUGAUGAGCCGUAAUGCCAUUAAUUUGGUGUUGCGGGGAAUUUGGACUGUUACUUUGAAAAAAUUAGAGUGUUUAAAGCAAGCUAACGCUUGAAUACAUUAGCAUGGAAUAAUGAAAUAGGACGUUCGAUCCUAUUUUGUUGGUUUCUAGGAUUGACGUAAUGAUUAAUAGGGAUAGUUGGGGGCAUUAGUAUUCAAUUGUCAGAGGUGAAAUUCUUGGAUUUAUUGAAGACUAACUACUGCGAAAGCAUUUGCCAAGGAUGUUUUCAUUAAUCAAGAACGAAAGUUAGGGGAUCGAAGACGAUCAGAUACCGUCGUAGUCUUAACCAUAAACUAUGCCGACUAGGGAUCGGAUGAUGUUAAUUUUUUAAUGACUC